UACGAAGGGGGCGAGCGUUGUUCGGAAUCACUGGGCGUAAAGGGCGCGUAGGCGGCCGAUUAAGUCGGGGGUGAAAGCCUGUGGCUCAACCACAGAAUUGCCUUCGAUACUGAUUGGCUUGAGACCGGAAGAGGUAAGUGGAACUGCGAGUGUAGAGGUGAAAUUCGUAGAUAUUCGCAAGAACACCAGUGGCGAAGGCGGCUUACUGGUCCGGUUCUGACGCUGAGGCGCGAAAGCGUGGGGAGCAAACAGG
rnacentral:rRNA from 1 species